rnacentral:lncRNA from 1 species
GUCAAACACCCGGCUCUCCUCUCCACCAGGCUCCCACGCCCACCACACAGCCUGUAGCCCCGGCGGAGCUAUGGGCUCUGACUCCGCCUCUUUCCAAAUCCGGAGUAGUUCGUGCCACAGUCGUCCUCGGAACCCUGUGGCCCCUUCCUCACCCGUUUCAGGGCCACUUGGUUCCCACCUCCACCUUCUUAGUCUGCCUGCCCUGCUUUCCAUCUUCUUGGAAUUCGCCUUGCUGCCGCCCCGCGCCCACCCCCGCGCCCACCCCUGCCCCUGCACCGUCCCAUGCCCUUAUGGAUUUAUUCUUUACACGUAAAUAUGUCUUUCCUCUUUUUGAAAGGAUUUGGAGUUGGAACAGAGAAAUUCACUAUGGAUGAUGCUAUAUCUUUAUAUGACCUUUGGAAUAUCUGUAAUCAUCCUGAGGGCAAUACUUAUGUAAUGAAGAUGGAAGAAGAGAGAAUAUGAAUACUCCGUGCACUUUGAUCUUAUCGUUUAGCUGCUGAUCAUACCAUCCCUGGAGUCCUACUUCUGACUCCAAGUUAUGAGAUGGAAUCUUGCUCUGUCAUCCAGGCUGGAGUGCAAUGGUGCGAUCUCAGCUCACUGCAACCUCCACCUCUUGAGUUCAAGCGAUUAUCCUGCCUCAGCCUCCUGAGUAGCUGGGAUUACAGGGGCAUGGAUAAAGCUGGAAGCCAUCAUUCUCAGCAAACUAACACGGGAACAGGACACCAAACACCACAUGUUCUCAUUCGUAAGUGGGAGUAGAACAAUAAGAACACAUGGACACAGAGAGGGGCACAACACACUCUGAAACCUGUCAGGUGGUGGGGGCAAGGGGAAGGAGAGCAUCAGGACAAAUAGCUAAAAACCUAGAUGACAGGUUGUUGGGUACAGCAAACCACCAUGGCACUCAUAUAUAUAUAUAUAUAUAUAUAUAUAUACCUGCACGUUCUGCUCAUGUAUCCCAAAACAUAAAGUAACAACAACAACAAUAACAAAAUGCUUUAUGUAGGGGAGAAGUGUGUACGCGUAUGUGUGUGUGUAGUGUCACUGUUCAAAUGAAAAUCAGAAACGAAAAUCCAUUGGUGGGAUUUUCUGAGCCAUUUUAAAAUAAAUUUACAUUUUUUUUAAAUUUUGUUUUUCUGUAAGUUAUUGGGGUACAGGUGGUUUUUGGUUACAUGAGUAAGUCAUUUAGUGGUGAUUUGUGAAAUCCUGGUGCACCCAUCACCCGAGCAGUAUAUACUGCACCAUAUAUGUUGUCUUUUCUCUCUUUUGCCCCUCUCCCAUGCUUCUCCACAAGUCCCCAAAGCCCACUGUAUCAUUCUUAUGCCUUUGUGUCCUCAUAGCUUAGCUCCCACAUAUCAGUGAGAACAUACAAUGUUUGGUUUUCCAUUCCUGAGUUAUUUCACUUAGAAUUAUAGUCUCCAAUCUCAUCCAGGUCAUUGCAAAUGCUAUUAAUCAUUCCUUUUUAUGGCUUAGUAGUAUUCUAUUAUAUAUAUACGUAUAUGUAUAUAUAUAUAUAUACGUAUAUGUAUAUAUAUAUAUAUACGUAUAUGUAUAUAUAUAUAUACGUAUAUGUAUAUAUAUGUAUAUGUAUAUAUAUGUAUAUAUAUACGUAUAUAUAUAUACGUAUAUAUAUAUACGUAUAUAUAUAUACCAAAGUUUAUCCAUUUGUUGAUUGAUGGGCAUUUGGGUUGGUUGCACGAUUUUGCAAUUGUUAAUUGUGCCGCUAUAAACAUGCGUGUGCAAGUAUCUUUUUCGAAUAAUAACUUCUUUUUUUCUGGGUAGAUACCCAGUUGUGGGAUUGCUGGAUCAAAUGGUAGUUCUACUUUUAGGUCUUUAAGGAAUCUCCACACUGUUUUCCAUAGCAGCUGCACUAGUUUACAUUUCCACUAGCAAUGUAGAAGAAGUGUUCCCUGAUCACCUCAUUUACACCAACAUCUACUGUUUUUUGAUUUUUUUAUUAUGGCCAUUCUUUCAGGAAUAAGGUGGUAUCGCAUUGUGGUUUUGAUUUGCAUUUCCCUGAUCAUUAGUGAUGUUGAACAUUUUUUCAUGUGUUUGUUGGCCAUUUGUAUAUCUUCUUUUAAGAAUUGUCUAUUCAUGUCCUUAGCCCACUUUUUGAUGGGAUUGAUUGUUUUUUUCCUUACUGAUUUGUUUGAGUUCGUUGUAGAGUCUGGAUAUUAGUCCUUUGUCAGAUGUAUAGAUUGUGAAGAUUUUCUCCCACUCUGUGUUGUCUGUUUACUUUGACGACUGUUUUUUUUUUUUUGUCAUUCAAAAGCUAUUUUGUUGAAUUAGGUCCCAGCUAUUUAUCUUUCUUUUUAUUGCAUUUGCUUUUGGGUUUUUGGUCAUAAAAUUAUUGCCUAAGCCAAUGUCUAGAAAGGUUUUUCCAGUGUUAUCUUCUAGAGUUUUUAUAGUUUUAGGUCUUAGGUUUAAGUCUUUAAUCCAUCCUGAGUUGAUUUUUGAAUAAGGUGAGAGAUGAGGAUCCAGUUUCAUUCUGCCACAUGUGGCUAGCCAAUUUUCCCAGAACUAUUUGUUGAAAAGGGUGUCUUUUCCCCACUUUAUGCUUUUAUUUGCUUUGUCGAACAUCAGUUGGCUGUAAGCAUUUUGGUUUAUUUCUGGGUUCUUAUUCUGUUCCAUUGGUCUAUGUGCCUAUUUUUAUACCAGUACCAUGCUGUUUUGGUGACUAUGGCCUUAUAGCAUAGUUUGAAAUCAGGUAGUGUGAUGCCUGCAGAUUUGUUCUUUUUGCUUAGUCUUGCUUUGUCUAUAUGGGCUCUUUUUUGUUUCCAUAUGAAUUUUAGAAUUGUUUUUUCUAAUGCUGUGAAGAAUGAUGGUGGUAUUUUGAUGGAGAUUGCAUUGAAUUUGUAGAUUGCUUUUGGCAGUAUGGUCAUUUUUACAAUAUUGAUUCUACCCAUUUAUGAGCAUGGCAUGUGUUUCCAUUUGUUUGUGUCAUCUAUGAUUUCUUUCAGCAGUGUUUUAUAGUUUUCCUUGAUUUGAUUCUCCACUUGGUCACUGUUGGUGUACAGAAAAGCUACUGAUUUGUGUACAUUAAUCUUGUAUCCAGAAACUUUGCUGAAUUAUUUUAUCAGUUCUAGGAGCUUUCUGGAGGAGUCCUUAGGAUUUUCAAGGUAAAUGAUUAUAUCAUUAGUAAACAGGGACAGUUUGAGUUCCUCUUUACUGAUUUGGAUGCCUUUUAUUUAUUUCUCUUGUCUGAUUGCUCUGGCUAGAUCUUCCAAUACUAUGAUGAAGAGGAGUGGUGAUAUAGUGACAGUCCUUGUCUUGUUUCCAUUCUCAGAGGGAAUGCUUUCAACUUUUCCCCAUUCAGUAUUUUGUUGACUCUGGGUUUGUCAUAGAUGUCUUUUACUACAUUAAGGUAUGUCCCUUGUAUGCCAAUUUUGCUGGGGGUUUUAAUCUAAAGCGAUGCUGGAUUUUGUCAAAUGCUUUUUCUGCAUCUAUUGAGAUGAUCAUGUGAUUUUUGUUUUAAAUUCUGUUUAUAUGGUGUAUCACAUUUAUUGAGUUGCAUAUCUUUAACCACCCCUGCAUCCCUGGUAUGAAACCCACUUGAUUGUGGUGGAUUACCUUUUAGAUAUGUUGUUGGAUUCAGUUAGCUAGUAUUCUGUUAAGGACUUUAGCAUCUAUGUUCAUCAAGGAUAGUGGUCUGUAGUUUUCCUUUUUGGUUAUGUUCUCUCCUGGUUUUGGUAUUAGGGUGAUGCUGGCUUCAGAGAAUGAAUUAGGGAGGGUUCCUUCUCUAUAUAUCUUGUGGAAUAAUGUCCACAGGAUUGGUACCAGUUCUUCCUUGAAUGUAUGGUAGAAUUCUGCUGUGAAUCUGUUUGGUCCUGGACUUUUUUUAUGUUGGUAAUUUUUAAAUUAUCAUUUAAAUCUCGCUGCUUGUUAUUGGUCUCUUCAGGGUAUCUACUUCUUGCUGAUUAAGCUAGGUGUAAGAUUGUCCCCAUGGCCUGAAAGCUUAAGGAGAUAUAUAACUCCUCGCUUCUCAGGCCCAGUCCCAAGGCGCAAGGCCACUUGCGUCAGCAGUGUGUGCGGCAGCAUGCACCAGCAAGAUAGCAGAGGCAGAAAAAUAGCCAGUCAGAAGACACCUACCCCUGAAGAUUGAGAAAGAGGCCAUAUGGGUAAAACAUAGCAGUUACGUCAGACUAGGACACUUCCUGUUUACAGGAGACUGUAAAACAUUUGUCCCAUCCUCACUUGGUGCUAACGCCAUUUUAAGCCUCAGCCCGCCUGCACCCAGGCACUCAUUAAGACAGCAUGUUGCUCCACACUGCCUCGUGUUGUCUGUUGGUGCACUCUCGGGGUUCAAACUGUUACAAGAACCUUAUAUUUUGGUGCUGAAAUCUGGGAGGGGCUCAGGUCUGCAUCCCCCAUGGACCUAGCCCUCCACCCCAAAGAGCAGGCCACAGCAGCUGGACAAAGGAAGGUCCUCAGCCUCCAGUCGCCUCUCUGUGCAUGCAGUCGGUCACUGAUCUCGCCUACUGGCACAGACGUGUUUCCAGACAAUCCAGAUGAUGCUUCUGCUACAGCGACAUGGCCCAGUCCCAAGGCGCAAGGGCCACUUGUGUCAGCAGUGUGCACCAGCAGCGUGCGCCGGCAAGAUAGCAGAAGCAUGAAAAGGGCCGGCCAGAAGACACCUACUCUGGCUGGAAGACACGUACCCCUGAAGAUCAAGAAAGAAGCUAUCUGGGAACAAUGUAGCAGUUACGUCAGACCAGGACACUUCCUGUUUACAGGAGACUAUAAAACCUUUGUCCUAUCAUCACUUGAUGUGGACGCCAUUUUAGGCCUCAGCCCGCCUGCACCCAGGCACUGAUUAAAACAGCAUGUUGCUCCACACUGCCUCGUGUUGUCUGUUGGCAUGCUCUUGGGGUUCAAACUGAUACAAGAACCUUACACUAGGAGGGUUGUGUUUUUCCAGGAAUUUAUUAAUCUCUUCCAGAUUUUCUAGUUUAUGUGUGUAAAGGUGUUCAUAUUAGCCCUGAAUGAUCUUUUGUAUUUCAGUGGUGUUAGUUGAAAUAUCUCCUGUUUCAUUUCUCUGUGAGGUUAUUUGGAUAGUCUCUCUUAUUUUCUUGGUUAAUCUUGCUAAUGGUCUCUCAAUUUUAUUUAUCUUUUCAAUGAAUCAACUUUUUGUUUCAUUUAUCUUUCGUAAAAUUUUUUUUUUCAAUUUCAUGCAGUUCUUCUCUGAUCUUGGUUAUGUUCUUUGUCUGCUGGGUUUGGGUUUGGUUUGUUCUUGUUUCUCUAGUUGCUUGAGGUGUAACCUUAUAUUGUCUGUAUGCACUUUUUCAGACUUUUUGUUGUAGGUGUUUAGGGCUAUGAACUUUCCUCUUAGCGCCUCCUUAGCUGUAUCCGAAAGUUUUUGAUAGGUUGUGUCAUUAUUGUCAUUCAUUUUGAAGAAUUUUAAAAUUUUCAUCUUGAUUUUGUUUUUGGCCCAAUGCUCAUUCAGGAGCAGGUUAUUUAAUUUCCAUGUAUUUGCAUGGUUUUGAAAGUCCUUUUGGAGUUCAUUUCCAGUUUUAUUCCACUUUGGUCUGAGAGAGUAUUUGAUAUAAUUUCAAUUUUCUUAAAUUUGUUGAGGUUCAUUUUAUGGCCUAUCAUAUGGUCUAUCUUGGAGAAGUUCCAUGCACUGUUGAAUAGAAUGUGUAUUCUGCAGUUGUUGGAUGAAAUGCUCUGUAGAUAUCUGUUAAGUCCAUUUGUUCCAAGGUAUAGUUUAAAUCCAUUGUUUCUUUGUUGACUUUCUGUCUUGAUGACCUGUCUAUUGCUGUCAGUGGAGUAUUGAAGUCCCCCACUAUUAUGAUUCUAUCUAUCUCAUUUCUUCAUUCUAUUAGUAAUUGUUUUAUAAAUUUGGGAUCUCUAGUCUUAGGUGAAUAUUUGUUUAAGAUUAUGCGGUUUUCCUGUUGUAUCAGGCCUUUUUACCAUUAUAUAAUGUCCCUCUUUGUGUCUUUUAACCACUGUUGCUUUAAAGUUCAUUUUGUCUGAUAUAAGAAUAUCUACUCCUGCUCAGUUUUGGUGUCCAUUUGCAUGAAAUGCCUUUUUGUACGCCUUUACUUUAAGUUUAUGUGAGUCUUUUUGUGUUAGGUGAGUCUCCUGAAGACAGUAGACGGUUGGUUAAUUCUUAUCCAUUAUGUGGUUCUGCAUCUUUUAAGUGGAGCAUGUAGGGUAUUUACAUUCAAUGUUAGUAUUGAAAUGUGAGGUACUCUUGCAUUCAUCAUGCUCUUUGUUGCCUGUGUACUUUGUUUUUGUUGUUGUUGUUUUAACUCGUGUUUUUGUUUUAUAGGCCCUUUGUAAUUUAUGCUUUAAAGAGAUUCUGUUUUGAUGUGUUUCCAGGAUGUGUUUCAUGAUUUAGAGCUUCUUUUAGAAGUUCUUGUAAUGGUGGCUUUGUAAUGGUGAAUUCUCUCAAUAUUUGUUUGUCUGAAAAUCACAGUAUCUUUCCUUCAUAUAUGAUGCUUCAUUUGGCUGGAUAAAAAAUUCUUGGCUGAUAAUUGUUUUGUUUGAGAAGGCUGAAGAUAGGACCCCAAUCCCUUCUAGGUUGUAGGGUUUCUGCUGAGAAAUCUGCUGUUAAUCUGUUAGGUUUUCCUUUAUAGGUUUCCUGGUGCUUCUGUCUCAAAACUCUUAAGAUUCUUUCCUUCAUCUUAACUUUCGAUAACCUGAUGACAAUGUGCCUAGGUGAAGAUCUUUUUGCAAUAGAUUUCCCAGGUGUUCUUUGUGCUUCUUGUAUUUGCAUGUCUAGGUCUCUAGCAAGGCUGGGAAAGUUUUCCUUGAUUAUUCCCCUAAAUAUGUUUUCCAAGCUUUCAGAGUUGUUUUCUUCCUCAGGAAUACCGAUUAUUCUUAGGUUUGGUUGUUUAACAUAAUCCAAAACUUCUUGGAGGCUUUGUUUAUAUUUUCUUAUUCUUUUUUCUUUGUCUUUGUUGGAUUGGGUUAAUUCAAAGACUUUGUCUUCAAGCUCUGAAUUUCUUUCUUCUACUUGUUCAAUUCUAUUGCUGAGACUUUCCAGAGCAUCACACAUUUCUAAAAGUGUGUCCAAUGUUUCCUGAAUUUUUAAUUUUUUUUUUCUUUAAGCUAUCUAUUUCAUUGGAUAUUUCUCCCUUCACUUUUUGUAUUAUUUUUUGGACUUACUUGCAUUGGGCUUUGCCUUACUUUGAUCUCUCCCUGAUUAGCUUAAUAACUGACCUCCUGCUUUCUUUUUCAGGUAAAUCAGAGAUUUCUUCUUGGUUUGGAUCCAUUGCUGGUGAACUCGGGUCGGGGGGUGUUGAGGAGCCUUGUUUUGUCAUAUUACCAGGGUUGGUUUUCUGCUUCCUUCUCAUUUGGGUAGACUCUGUCAGAGGGAAGGUCUAGGGCUGAAGGCUGUUGUUCAUAUUAUAUUUUCCCACAGGCUGUUCCCUUUAUGUAGUACUCUCCCCCUUUUCGUGUGGAUGUGGCUUCCUGUGAACUGAACUGCAGUGAUUGUUGUCUCUCUUCUGGGUCUAGCCACCCAGUGAGUCUACCUGGCUCUGGGCUGGUACUGGGGGUUAUCUGCACAGAGUCCUGUGAUAUUAACUGUCUAUGGGUCUCUCAGUCAUGGAUACCAGUGCCUGUUCCAGUGGAGGUGACACAAGGGGCAAUGGACUCCAUGGGGGUCCUCAGUUUUGGUGGUAUAAUGGCCUAUUUUUGUGCUGGUUGGCCUCCUACCAGGAGGUGGCACUUUCCAGAAAACAUCAGCUGUAGUAGUGUGGAGAGGGACUGGUGGUGGAUAGGGCCCUACAACUCCCAAGGUUAUAUGUCCUUUGUCUCCUGCCACCAGGGUGGGUAGGGAAGGACCAUUGGGUGGGGGCAGGGCCGUGUCUGAGCUCAGACUUUCCUUAGUUGAGUCUUGCUGUGGCUGCAGUGGUGGAUGGGGGUGAGACUCCCAGGUCACUGGAGUUGUUUACCAAGGCAGAUUAUGGCUGCCUCUGCUGAGUCAUACAGGUUGUCAGGGAAGUGGGGUAAAGCUGGUAGCCACAGACCUUACUCAGCUCUCACUCAAACCGAAGGGCUGGUCUCACUCCCACCAUGCCCUCAGCAACAGCCCUGAACCUGUUUCCAGGUGAAGGGCCAGUCAGGCUUGAAAAUUUUCCCAAGGUUUUCUUCACAUUUGCAAAUGAAAAGGGCUUUAGUUCUUUCCCCACCUGUGAAGUCUGCAAACUGGAUUCGCGCCCUCCCCUGAGUUCUGGCCUUGAGACUUCUCGCCCUGUUCAAAUUGUUAGAAAUUUCAGCUAGAGAAGUUCUUCUCAUUGUGGAGUUUUACCCCCUGCUCCUCUGGCCACCCUCCUGAUGGAUCCCUGUGGUGCCAGGCAGGAAUUGUCUGCUUGGGGAUCCAGCGAGCUCCCAGUGCCUUUCUGCUACUUCCUCUAUCCCUGUGUUUCGCUGGGUUUGGCUCUCUAACUUGACUCGGCUCCAGGUAAAGUUGGGAACUUCUCCCACAAACAGACCUUCAGCUUCUCCAUUGGGGAUGUCUGUUUGGGAGAGGAGGGUCUCCCUUUUCCACUUCCAUGGUUGGGGCACUCACAGUAUUUAGGUUGUCUCCCGUGUCCUGCAGGAGCAGUCUGCUUCCUUUAGAGGGUCUGUGGGUCCUCUCAGGAUUGCUGGUCUGUUAUUGCAGUCGAUCUGGAGCUAAAAUUCACAAUGCAAGCCUCCGUAUGCUGCUCUGUCCGGAGCUGCAAUCUAGUCCUACCUCCCAUCAAAUUUACACAUUUUAAAAUACCAUUUACUUCCUAAUCUGACAGGAUAUCAAACCAGGUUCGUCCAGCUUUCCUGUCUGACACCUCUUUAGUUUCCUUGGUAACAAAACUUUGCUCCAUGAUUCCGGUAACAAAACUCUUUAGUUUCCUUGGUAUCAAAACUCUGCUCCAUGAUUCUGGGGUCUGAUUUUGAAUAAAUGCAACGUCAGAAGCAAGAGUGAGCUGAGUACUUUACAGCUGUGGAACCUAAAGCAAAAAAAACAGACACAGCAUCCCAAUUCUAAUUCUGACUCUGAUUUGGAUUCAGAUCCAUAUUUCCCCCAGACUCUACAGACACAUCACUUCUCCUCCUUUGUUCCCCUUCCAGUUCUGCUAUGGAAGAAGCAACAUCUAAGAUGACGGAAAUUAUUUCAGAGCCCACAGUUACACUGGAAAAUGAGGUAAAAAAAAAAUAGAAUUCUGCUCACUACCUUACAGAAAAACAAGCCAGACAAAAGGGUGGAAUGGUUAAGAGACAGUGUUGACAAUGAGCACUUGGACUAUCGCUCAUCUAAAUGCUGCUGCAUUUAUCAAAAGCCUCAUGCCUUUGGUGAAAGCUCCUCAGAGAGUGAAAAAGAGGAUGAAGAAAAUUGUAAUUUCAUGCUAUAUUUCUGGGGUCAUCACAAUGGACGGCAUCAUUCCCUUCCCAAUAGGGCUUCUAGUACUUUAUCUAAAAAACCUUGAGACACAUCUCAUCCUCUUCCUUCACCCAUGAAGGGCUAAGCUUACUUUGCUUCCCCCAUCCCUGAAUGAGACUGGACUAAAAUAUAUCCACGUUGCUAUUCAGGGAUUAAACAUAUUUUGAAUCUUUUUUGAUGUGUGUUCUAUCUCUCUUCUGUCUGAUGGAAAGGGUAGCAAUGAAGGAAGACAAGGGGAGAGAAACAAAGGGAUCAAUAGAAUACCUGGAAGCCCUGGUACUGCAUGACUACUAUUCUACAAUACACAUGUCACAUGUAUAUUCUUGUCUUUUUUAGAGAUCUGGAAUAACUUCUCCUAUAUUUUCUUGGCUAGUCUAUUAUCAUGACACCAAACCCCCACUUUCCACAGAGCUACCAUUUUCUCUAUACUUGUUACCCAUAAUAGUUUCUAUCAUCUAAUGAGUACCAGAUUAUUCUUUACCAUUAAUUGGAAGCUUUGUAAUCUUGUCACCUGAUAUUUACCCAUUACACUUUAUUCUUGCUUUUAUCCUGGGUGAUUUCAAUAUCCCUGUAGAUAAGAUUUCAUAUAAACUAGGUAUUUCUCCUCUACUUUUAUUUAGGAACCCCACAGCCAUAGUCAUACCAUGAAGCUAAUGAGCACUAGUACUAUUCCACAUCUAAGUUUUAUAAUUAGGGAUCUUAUUUUCUCAUCCCAAACUCCUAUCUUUUGACUUCUGUCUCAUACUCGCUUACAACACUAUUUUGUGAAUUCAUGGAGACUCCUAGUCACCCAAAUUUGUGCUGACCUCUCAAUCAGUCAACCUUCUGGGUAUAACUUCUUUUCCACCCAAACUUCUGACCCAUCAACAGCAUUCUUUCCCGUGUUCUUACUUCUUCACUCUUUUGUGAAACCUCUCUUGCCAAUUCCAAAUUAUGACAUGUGACUCAGGAAAACUAAAAUGAAGUGUUUGUGGACUUGGGGAAAGGUGGUAUCAAAGAAACAUCAGGAAACUAUCAAGAGGUAGAAUAGUAGUUUAAAUUUAUUACAUGUUUUGUGUGUGCCUAGCAUUUUCUUCAAGGCUUUAUGUAUAAUAACCCAGGAAUUCUGGGAAAGUCUCAGUCUUUAUCUCUUCAAAUAUAUUCUGCUUCAUUCUCUUUUUCCUAUUUCUUUGAGACUCCAAUUUAAACCUAUGUUACACUUCCUUCUAUAUUUGUUAAUAUUAUCUUUAUUUUUCUGUCUCUUUUAAACAUCAUUUGGAUCAUUUCUUCUUAUCAGCAUUUAGUUCACCAAUAUAGCUUGAUUUAUAUCUAAAAAGCUAUUAAACCCAUCCACUUAAUUUUGUUUCCUUAUACUCUUCAGUCCUAGAAUUUCAACUUAGUACUUUUUCCCAAUUGUUAGAUCCCUUAUUAUGAGGACCUGAAUAAUUCAAAUUCUCUGUAAGAAACUUUUGGCUUGACUUUGAUUUCCUUGCACAUACUAAGCAUAAUUAUUUUAUAACUUGUGUCUGAUAAUUGUAGUAUUUACAAUCCUGGUGAAUUUGUUUCCAUUGUCUGAUUUUCUCUCCUAGUUCUUGCUCAUAGUUUCUUGUUUUCUUGCUUUUGUGCUUUUUUUAUUCCUUGAUUAUAUGCUAUACUCUAUUUUAAAUAUUAUUUGUAGAAAUUUGAGGUCGAGGAUAAUGAUAUCUUCCUCCAAAGGAAGUGUGUGUGUGUGUGUGUGUGUGUGUGUGUGUGAGUGUGUGUGUGUUUCUAUGGGUUUCUGAGGUCAGUAGAAAUCCGGGAUUAUCUUAAUCCAAAUUUAGAGUUUAGUAUUUUUGAGGAUUCCAAAAUUAACUAAAGUUGGGUUGUAGCUCAUUACAGCUUCCGUUUGGUUCAAUUCACUUUUAUUCAUGAUUUUCUGGCCAUUAUAGGUCAAGAUCAAAACUACCCACUCUUGGUAGACUGAGGACUAUGAAUUUUAUCUUCCUAGCACAAUGAAGUCACCAAAAGUACAGAUCUUCCUCUCACGCAUUACUUUAGACUCAGCAAAUAUUCCUUUCCCCCAGAGAAAAAUAGGUUCCAUGUUCUGGACUCAACACUAGAUUCCUUUUCUGUUAUAGACCUCUGUCUAAUAGUUCCUCACUAUUUUGCCUAUUUUUUAGCUUUUUUUGUAAUUGCAAGAAUAUUUUGAAUUUUUUUGUAGCCUUUUGAUUUGUUUUCCAGUUCCAACCCAGGGAAUGUUGAUCUAAGUUAUCUUUUUAUACCUUUAUAUUCACUAUUUUAUCAUUACAAUAAUGCCAUGAGGUAGAUAAUAUUGUUAUCCUCACAGUACAUCUUAGAAACUGAGAUAUAGAGUUAAUAAUUUGCCUUAGAUAACACAGCUAAUAAGAAUUAGAAAUGAAAUUUGAACCCAAGCAUUCUGGCUCAACAGUCUGAAUUCCUCAACAUUUGCUUUUUCUGAAUUAUUAGGCAAUUAAUCCCUCUGGCAAAACAGAAAUUGUUCUAUGUCUACUUGGGUUAGAGUUCUGGCAGAACAUAAACAUUAGAGGUUGUAGGUUAAAACAAAACAAGCCCCUGGGAUCCCACCAAGCAUGCUUUUGGUGGGCUAGGAAGAUAAAUUUUGUGACCAGGAUCUACUUUUCUAACAAAGGAGACUUUCAUUCUAUCAAUAAAUUUCCAUAUGCAUGAUAUGCUUGGAAGAUUCAAGCCAGCCUAGGGGCCCUCUUGGAAUAUAAAGAUACUAAUAGUAUGUCUUUUGACUGAAAGGCCCCAGUUUGGAUUGAACUGAUAUCUGUAUAGAUGGAGGGAUGAAGGAUACUAAUUGGGGAAGAAAGUGCUAGCCCCCUCAAGGAAAGACUGACAGUCUGAAUCACAGAAUUGAAAGGGCAUGACAAUUCCAUUUGGAUUUGACAUAAGUUCACAAAGGAAAUAGUUGUGUAGAUCAUGAAGAUUCCUGCAAGGUGAAGUAAGGUUUAUGGGAAGCAAGGACAAAAUUCAGAAAAUGGUGUUAAGAAAAUGGUGAGGGAGAGGGCUGAGGCCCAGCCAAGUUCUCUAAGAUUGUUCUCAAUGGGGAACUAAAGUGGAUAAAUGGAAAGUAGUGACCUACACAAAGUGCCAGUCAGCCAAACAAAACAUGCCAAAUGUCAAGUGAGUAGGAAAAUUUCAGCUCUUAAAAUUACGUAGGCUUUAAUAAUUCCAAAUUUAAUUUGAUUCUCAGAAUAUGGGAGGAGACUACAUGCACAGUUCUAAAGCCAUCACUGUUUUUGUUUUUAUGAUGUUUCCAGUUAUUUCUAGGCUCUCUAGUCUCUCUCGUAACUAAGAUAGACAUAUUCAAUUCUGUAUUUAUAUUCCUUUGCCAGUUUAUACUUCAUAGGUACAAUCCAUUACUGUUAUAACUGGUCUAUAAAUGUCUUGUUUUCUUCUAACUCUUAGAACAGUGAUAAAAAUUCAUUGGCAUGCAUGUAGUCCGUGUUACAGCCUAGAUGGAACAAGCACAUAUGCUCAUGUGUCAUUUCUGACUCAGUGGUAUCUCUACAAACUCUCAAACUUCUUGUAGAAAUUUUUUAUGUUGGCCUACCAGGGAGAUCUGUUACAGUAAUGAAGGAACUACUUAACUGCUCCCCUUGAGCCCUGAAGAAGUUAAUAAACAAAAACAUCACUGAAGUCUUAGUAAUUUUGUGUGUUAUACUCCCUGAUGCAUUUAUAACUGACCAGAAAAGCUGGCAGAUUUGUAAAGAGAUUCCUCCUCUGCUCAUGAGAUAUAGGAAUGCCUACAACCAGGUCUAUGGUAUUAUGUAGAUCAAUAACUGUCUUAUGAGGAGUAGCUAGCCAGGGGCUUUUUCUUCUACUUCUGUUAUGACUAGUAGAGAUAUGUCAUUUUGUGUCAUUGUUCCCUGGUGGUCACGUGAUAGAUAGUGUGGGAGAGUUGGCAUUUUAGUCAAAUAUCUGACCUCCCCUCUUUCUAUUGUAAACACUUUGGUUUUAGCUGGGCAAAAUACCCGCCAUGAGCUGCUUAAGUCAGGGAUUUAAUGUAAGAUAAUUCAACUUCUACCUUAUUUAAAAAACUGUCAUUGUGGUUUCUGAAAAACUGAAUUUAUAGCUUUACUAAUACAGAAUCAAACUAUUUUUUAACAGGGUGACAAAUUGCAACAUUGUAAAGGAAGGCUUAAUAGAAAAAAAAAAUAGUACAUAGUAAUAGAACUGCUUGCUGAGUUCCAAGACUUUUAGAACAAGGUGAGGGGGGAGGACUUUUCCUUCCAAUUCCUUCUUCAUAACAUUGGAUGGAGUCCUUUUGGUGGGUAUUUUGACAGCUUCCUUUUUGUUUUGUUUUCUUUUGUUUUGUUUUUGGAGACAGUCUCCCUCUAUUGCCCAGGCUGGAGUGCAGUGGCACAAUCUGGGCUCACUGCAACCUCCGACUCCUGGACUCAAGUGAUUCUCAUGCCCCAACCUCCCAAGUAGCUGAGAUUACAGGCGUGCGCCACCACGCUGGCUAAUUUUUAUUUCAUGAUAUUUUGUGGAGAUAGGGUUUUGCCAUGUUGGCCAGGCUGGUCUCUGAAUUUCUGGCCUUAAGUGAUCCGCCCGCCUCUGCCUCCUAAAGUGAGGGGAUUACAGGCAUGAGCCAUUGUGCCCAGUGGACAGCAUCUUUUGUUACUGCUCUUUUCCUAGAAAAUCUCCAGUGUGGGGUUGCUAGGUAAAUACAAAACAUGCAUUUAAAUUUGAACUUUGGAUAAUGAAUAAUGUUUACUUCAUGCAUAUUUAAAAGAUAUUUGUGAAAAAAUUUAUUGUUCAUCUGAAGUUCAAAUUCAACUGGGCAUCUUUUUUAAGUUUUUGUAUUAUUUAUUUAUUUUUUUAAAUGAUGUGCUAAGUUUGGCAACACACCUCCAGAGUUUUCUGUUUUUCUGACUACUUUCUUCAAACUUCACUUUAUAAAAUGUCAAAAAGCAGCACACCACAGGUCUUAAUUGAUCUCUCCAUUGCUGUUCCUACUUUAACAUCAUUCCAUUCACCUCACACACCAAUUUUAUCUCACUCAAUGAGAAAUCAACCCACUUUUAAACUAUUUAUUAUAUUUUCAGGAGUGUGUGUAAGGUUAACUUUAAAUGUAAAUAAGUUAGGGGCCUUUCACUAUAUUUUUACAUUUGUUGCGCACUUUAGUUCUAUUAUUAUUAUAUUGUAAUAUAUAAUGAAAUAAUUAUACAAUUCACCAUAAUUUAGAAUCAGUGGGAUGCCUGAGCUUCUUUUCCUGCAACUGGACAGUCCCAUCUUGGGGUAAUGGGAGACAGUGACAGAUCAUCAGGCAUCCAAUUCUCAUAAGCAGCAUGAAACCUUGCAUACACAGUUCACAAUAGGGUUCAAUCUCCUGUAAGAAUCUAAUGCAGCCAGUGAUCUGACAGGAGGCGGAACUCAGGAGGUAGUGUGAAGGAUGGGGAGCAGCUGUAAAUACAGAUGAAGCAGGCUGGUCCCCAUGGUUCACACCUGUAAUCCCAGCAUUUGGGAGGCUGAGGUGAGCAGAUCACUUGAGGUCUGGAGUUUGAGACCAACAUGGCAAAACUCUGUCUCUACUCAAAAUACAAAAAUUAACCGAGCAUGGUGGUGCACCCUAGUAAUCCUAGCUACUAGGGAGGCUGAGACAGGAAAAUUGCUUGAACUUUAAAGGCGGAGGUUGCAGUGAGCCCAGAUCGUGACACUGCACUCCAGCCUGGGUGACAGAGCAAGACUCUGUCUCCAUGGCCCAGGGACUGGGGGCCCUUGCUGUAUAGGAUGUGUGAAAACUCUGUGCACACAAUCCAGGUGUGUAGCAGUGGUGUAUGAUCAGGAACAAGGUACUGAAAUUAGUCCCUUGUCUAAUCCAAGCUGUAGCUAUGGCUUAAGGAAGUGUGAGGGUAAGUUAGCAUCUGGUGGUCAGUGAGCUGCAAUUGUCUCGAUUUUGCUUAUUUUGGGGCCAGUGUUUGUUCAGUUGCUAGAGAAAAAGAAAGAAAAAAAAACCUUGUUGCAGUUAGAAUAUAGUCUAACCUUUAGGUGUUGGGGAUGGUACAUGACUUAUCCCUUUCCUGGCAUGCCUUUAGGUCUUGUUUAUAAUUUGGUAUCUUGUUGCUACAAAAAGUCCUUUUCCAUCACUCUUAUGAUCUCUACUUUAAUACUAUCAUCAAAACUGAUUACACAAGUUCAUCUGUUAAUGUUCAUUUUUAUUGAGAUUUUAUAUAUUUACACUUCAAAAAUUUCUUUUCACACAUAUGGAAACAUAUAUGAAUUUUAAAAUAUGCAUCUUCAUGAAAGUCCAAAUAACACUAUUUGGACUAUAGUUUGAGUUCAGAAAUUAUAUCUGCUGAAAAUUUGGGUGGGAGUAAAUAUCUUCCUUCUUAGUUUAACUUUAUUUUCAAGUGUUUGUCUUUAUUUUGUUUAUAAUUGGCAUGUAAUCGUUGUCUAUGCUUAUGCAAUACAGUGUGAUGUUUCAACAUGUGUGCAUUGUAUAAUGAUAAACUCAGUGUUGUUAGCAUGCCCAUCCCACCAAACCUUUGUCAUUUUUUGUGAAGAUAACUUUCAAGAUUGUUAUUUACAGCUGCCUGAAAAUAUACAAACAUAUUUAUUAGUUAUUGCCAUCCCACUAUGUAAGAGAGCACCAAAACUUAUUCUUUCUUUCUGACUGGAACUUUGUACCAAUUGAGCAAAUGUUUCCAUCUUCCAUUCUCCACUCCCAUCCCCAGCCUCUGGUAAACAGUAUGCUACUCUUUACUUCUGUGAGAUCAACUUUUCUAAAUUACACCUAUAAGUGAAAUCACUGUAGUUUUCUUUCUGUGCCUCGCUUAUUUUCCUUAAUAUUGUGUCCUUUAGGUUGAUCCCUUCUGCCAUUAAUGACAGGAUUUUUCCAUUUUUAUAGCAGAAUAGCAUACCACUGUGUAUGUAUACCACAUUUUCUUUGUUAAUUCAUCUGCUAAAGGACACUUAGGUUGAUUCCUUUUAUUGGCAAUUGUGAAUGAUGCUUUAUAAACACAGGAGUGCAGAUAUGUUUUCAACAUACUGAUUUAAAUAUCUUUCCAUAUAAACCCAGUGGUGAAAUUACUAGGUUAUGUGGUGGUUUAAUUUAAUAUUUUGAGGAAUCUCCGCAGUGUUUUCCAUAAUGGCCAGGCUAGUCUACAAUCCUAGCAGUAGUGUACAAUAGUUUCCUUUCUUCGUGUCCUUGACAGCAUUUGAUAUUUUACUUUCUUCUUGAUAGUAGCCAUUCUAACAAAAGUGAGGAGAUAUCUCAUUGUGGUUUUGAUUUGCAUUUCCCCAGUGAUUAGUGAUAUUGUGAAUUUGUGAAUUUCUUAUAUGCCUGCUGGCCCUUUGUAUGUCUUCUUUUAAGAUAUGUCUUUUCAGACCUUUUGUCCAUUUAUUAAUCAGAUUAUUUGGGGGGGGUGUUUUUCUAUUGCAUGAUUUGAGUUCGUUAUAUAUCAUGAAUAUUAGCCUAUUAUCAGAUGGAUGGUUUGCAAAUAUUUUCUUCCAUUCUGUAAGUUGCCUCUUUGCUCUGUUCAUUGUAUCUUUUCUUGUACAGAAGCUUUUUAGUUCAGUGUAAUCCCAUCUGUCUAUUUUUGUUUUAUUGACUGUGCUUUUCAUGUACCACCAAAAAAAAUUAUUGAUCAGACUAAUGUUAUGAACUGUUUUCCUUGUGGUUUUUUCUGAUAGUUUUAUAGUUUUGAGUAUUAUACUUAAGUCUAUAAUCUAUUUUGAAAUGAUGUUUGUAUGCAGUUAAAGAUAAGGGUCUAGUUUCAUUCUUCUUCAUAUGGAUAUCCAGUUUUUCCAGCACCAUAUAUUGAAGAGACUAUCUUUUCUUCCAUGUGUGUUUUUGGCAGCUUUGUCAAAAAAUAUGUGACCAUAAGUGUGUAGAAUUAAUUUUGGGUUCUCAAUUUUGUCGCAUUGAUCUUUGUUUUUAUUUUUAUACAAGUACCAUGCCGUUUUGGUUAUUAUUGCUUUAUACAGUAUUUGGAAGUCAGGUAAGGUGAUGCCUCCAGCUUUGCUCCUUUUUUAUUUGUUUUAUUUUUUAUUCUGAUAUGUAUUUAAAUACAAGGUAAAAUAUUACAAUCAUACUAACAGAAAUAUGAGAAUUUUUAGUGAAACAAGAUGAGUGAUUCUAGAGCAUUUAUUUUCAGUAAAUUUUAACUCAAUUUUAUACUAUAUAUACUAUGCUAUUUGUACUAGAAGUAUUUGUAAUUUUAGUUAAUAUUGAUAAUUUAUUUUGGUGAAGAGAAAUUUCAUGAACCUAUCUAUUCUGACACCUCUCUAUCAUGACAAAGAGAUAUAUAAAUAAUUUAAAAAAUUAACUCCUUUUCAAUUGCAACAAAAACAAAAAUUGACAAAUGAAGUCUAAUCAAUCUAAAGAGCUUCUGCAUAGCAAAAAAACCUAUCAACCAAGUAAACAGACAACCUAAAGAAUGAAAUAAAUUUUUUGGAAACUAUGCAUCUGAAAAAGAUCUAAUAUCCAGCAUCUAUAAGAAACUUAAAAAAAAUCUACUAGAUUAAAACAAACAAUCCCAUUAAAAAGUGGGCAAAUGACAUGAACAGACACUUUUCAAAAGAAGGCAUACCUGUGGCCAAUGAGCAUAUUAAAAAAGCUUAAUAUCACUGAUCAUAAGAGAAAUGCAAAUUAAAACCACAGUGAGAUACCAUCUCACACCAGUUAGAAUUGUUAUUAUUAACAACAAAACAUAGCAGGUAUUGGCAAGGUUUUGGAGAAAAAGGAACACUUAUACACUGUUUGUGGGUGUGUUAACUAGUUCAACCAUUGUGAAAGGCAGUGUGGUGAUUGCUCAAAGACCUAAAAACAGAAAUACCAUUCAACCCAGCAAUCCCAUGACUGGGUAUAUAUUCAAAGUAAUAUAAAUUUUUCUGCCAUAAAACAUAUGAAUGCUUAUGUUCACUGCAGCACUAUUCACAAUAGCAAACUCAUGAAAUCAACCUAAAUGUCCAUCAAUGGUAGAAAGGAUGAAGAAAAUAUGUUAAAUAUACACCAUGGAAUACUAUGCAGCCAGAAAAAAGAAUGAGAUCAUGUCCUUUGUAUGAACAGCAAUGGAGCUGGAAGCCAUUAUCCUUAGCAAACUAACACAGGAAUAGUAAACCAAUACUGCAUGUUCUCACUUAUAAUUGGGGGCUAAAUGAUGAGAACACAUGGACACAUAGAGGGGAACAACAGACAGUGGAAGGGAGGAGGGGGAGAGGAUCAGGAAAAAUAACUAAUGGACACUAGACUUAACAUGUGGGUGAUGGAACAAUUUGUAAAACAAACCCCCAUGACAUGAGAUUACCUGUAUAACAAACCUGCACAGGUACCCCUGAACGUAAAAUGAAAGUUAAAAAAACUUCCUUUUAAAAAUUUUAUUUUAGUUUCAGUGAGUACAGGUGAAAGUUUGUUACCUGGGCAAAUUGCACGUCAGGCUUUGAUGUACAAAUUGUUCACCCAACUAUUGAGUAUAGUACCUGAUAUGCAUUUUUUUAAUCCUCAUCCUCCUUCCACCCCUCACCCUCACGUAAACUAUGGUGUCUAUUGUUUCCUUUUUUGUGUACACGUGUAUUCAAUAUUUAGUUCCCAUUUAUAUGCAGUGUUAGGUUUUCUGUUUCUGUGUUAAUUUGUUUAAGAUAAUAACCUCCAGUUGUAUCCAUUUCACUGAAAAUAAGGUUAUUUCAUUUUCUAAAAAAAUUACUUCCAACCAUGGUGAUGGGAUUAUUUUGUUUUUCUUUAUGCCUGCAUAGUAUUCCAUGGUGUAUAAGUACAACAUUUUCUUUAUCUAGUACACCAUUGAUAGGCAUUUAGGUUGAUUCCAUGUCUUUGCUAUUGCAAAUAGUGCUCUAUUUUUUGGAAUAGUUUCAGUGGCAAUGGUACCAGGUCUUCUUUAUAUUUUGGUAGAAUUCGGAUGUGAAUCCAUCUGCAGGAAAGUCUGGUCCAGGGCUCUUUCUGGUUGGUAGGUUUUUCAUUAUUGAUUUAUUACUGAUGUUCAUUAUUGAUCAUAUUUCUCAUUUGUUUAUGAAGAUUAGUUUGGCCGGAUAUAAAAUUCUUGGUUGAAAUUAUCUUUAAGAAUGAUGAAUAUGGGCUCCAAUCUCUUCUGACUUGUACAGAUUCUCCUGAAGAAUUUGCAAGUUUCUUGAUGGGGUUUUCUUUUGUGAGCAACCUGUCCCUUCUCUGCAGCUCUUUUAUAUAUAUAUAUAUUUCAUUGACCUUGGGGAAUCUGAUUUCUAUGUGUCUUGGAAAUGGUCAUCUUGCAGGGGUUCUUUGUAUUUUCUCAAUUUGAAUGUGAACUUUUCUAGUAUGCUUCAGAAAAUUUUCAUAGACAAUAUGCUUAAAUAUGUUUUCCAAGUUGCUUUUUGUCUCUGUGUCUCUUUCAGGAAUGCCAAUUCUUUGUAGGUCUGGUCUCUACAUAAUUCUAUAUUUCUUGGAGGUAUUGUUUAUUUUAAAAAGAAUUAAAAUUUCUUUCUGAUAGAGUUGAUUUGAAGAACUGGCCUUAAAAUCUUAUUCUAUUUUGCUCAUCUUAGUCUGUCUUCCUGUUAAUAAUUUCUGAUUGUAUUACAGAAUUCUUGUAGUGAGUAUUUCAGCUCUUAUGAUCAGUUUUGUUCUUUCUUAAAAUGGCUAUUUUGUCUUUCAGUUGUUGAAUCAUUUUUGGAUUCCUUAUAUUCCUUGGAUUUUGUUUUGACUUUCUCCUGAAUUUCUGUGAUCUUUGUUUCCAUCCAGAUUCUAAAUUCUGUUUGUCGUUUCAGCCAUUUUGGUCUGGUUAAAAACCAUUGCUAGGGAGCUAGUGCAGUUGUUUGGGGAUAAGAAGACAUUCUGGCUUUUAGAGUUUCAGAGUUCUUGCACUGGUUGUUUUGUAUGUGUGUGGGCUGAUGUUCAUUUAAUCUUUGAAGUCGCUCUUCUUUGUAUGGUGCUUUUUGCUUGUAUUUUCUUUGGUGUCCUUGAAGGUUUGACUGGUAUAAGUUGGGUUUAGUUGAUGGCCUUCAUUUCUAGAUGAUUCAGGGGGCCAACAUUCAGCUCUGCACUACUGGGCUGUGUAAUUUAACCAUGGGUAGAUGGUACCAGGCCUGUGAUUUUGUUCUCUGUCUCCUCCAGGUUAAGCACCUGCUGUGCUGGAUGGGCCAAGGUGCUCCCUGUCUGGUGGCAACAAUACUCCAAUGGGAGUGCUGGCGAAAGUGAUUCAUUUGAGUAGUGGCAGUGGGUUCCAUGCAUGCAUGCAUGCUUGUGUCAGCAGGAUCGGUGUGCAAGUGUGUAUCCAAGCAGUGGCAUGGCAUUGACAUGGUCGGGUCUGCAAGUGCACACAGUCUCCACUGGCAGAGUGCAGUGGGGUCUGCACAUGUGUGCACACCACCAGCAGCAGCAUGGCAGUGUUCACAUGUGCAUGUGCCAGCACAUCUGUAGGGGAGACUGUGGGUGAGUGCACAUCAGCAGAAGCUGCGGGUGGUGCUUAUCAGCAGAAGCUCUCUGAUGGUUAAGCAAGAUCUGUCAGUGUAGGAGCUAUGAAGUUGGCUGCUGGGAAAUGCCUCAGUUGGGCAUCUGAGUCUGUGCUACAAGCAACUAUAGCCAGGCAGGGACCCUGGGAAAGGCUGGUAGAUAGGGGGAUGCUCAGAUCACACUGGCCGCAUCCUACAGGCAACAUAACCCUAUUCUGUACAGGACUGAUAGUCAACAAAAUCCAAAUCCACCUACAUGAACAUGUUAUGCCUCAGGGAAUGGGCAUCCAUGAUGGUGCUCCACUGCAGCCAUUCUGGCACCAAAACCUCUGAGUCCCAUGCAGGCUGGAGCCCUGUCCCUGCCAACUCCCCAAGAAGCUCUUUCUGCUAGCUCAAAUGCCUGUUAGGGACAUGGGGUUUUCUGCAGCUAUGAUUCUGGAGGUUUGUGGACUCCUUCUUUACACCAAAUGCAAAAAUUAAAUCAAGAUGGAUUAAAGAUGUAAAUGUAAAACCAAAAACUAUAAAAAUCCUGGAAGACAACCUAUACAAUACUGUUCUCCACAUAGGAAUCAGCAAAGAUUUUAUGAUGAUGCCAAAAGCAAUUGCAACAAAAGCAAAAAUCAGCAGAGUAAACAAACAGCCUAUGGAAAGGAAAAUAAAUUUUGCAAUCUAUGCAUCUGACAAAGUCUAAUAUGAAGCAUCUAUAAGGAGCUUAAACAAAACUACAAGAAAAAAAAACAGACCUAUUAAAAAGUGGGCAAAAGACAUAAACAGGCACUUUUCUUCUUUUCUUUAAAUAGCUACCUUUAUUUGUAAAGUUCAUUUUUAAAAAUUUUGUAUUUCAAUAGUUUUGGCGGUACAGGUGGUUUCUGGUUACAUGUAUGUGUUCUUUAGCAGUGAUUUAGAGAUUCUGGUGCACCAUCACUAAAGCAGUAUACACUGUACUCAAUAGGUAGUCUUUUAUUCAUCACCCCAAUCCUACCUUUCCCCUUGUGUCCACAAAGCCAAUUAUAUCAUUCUUAUGCCUUUGCAUCCUCAUAGCUUAGCUCCCACUUAUAAGUAAGAACAUACAUCAUUUGGCUUUCUAUUUCUGAGUUACUUCACUUAGAAUAAUGGCCUCCGGAACUCACCACAGCACAGAAAAGCAGCUAUGGCCAGACUGCCUUACUAGAUUCCUCCCCACUGGGCAGGGCAUCUCUGAAAGAAAGGCAACAGCCCCAGUCAGAGGCUUAUAGAUAAAAUUCCCAUCUCCCUGGGACAGAACACCUGGGGGAAGGGGAGGCUGUGGGCGCAGCUUCAGCAGACUUAAAUGUUCCUGCCAGACGGCUCUGCAGAGAGCAGCGUAUCCUGACAAGGAGGAUUCUCCCAGCACAGAACGGGAGCUCCACUAAGGGACAGACUGCUUCCUUAAGUGGGUCCCUGACCCCCGUGCCUCCCGACUGGGAGACAGCUCCCAGCAGGGGUCAGCAGACACCUUAUACAAGAGAGCUCCAGCUGGCAUCUGGCAGGUGCCUCUCUGAGACAAAGCUUCCAGAUGAAGGAGCAGGCAGCAGUCUUUGCUGUUCUGCAGCCUCUGCUGGUGAUACCCAGGCAAACAGGGUCUGGAGUGGACCUCCGGCAAACUACAGCAGACAUGCAGAAAAGGGGCCUGAUUGUUAGAAGAAAAACUAAAAAACAAAAAGUAAUAACAUCAACAUCAAAGAAAAAGAAGGAACCCCAUUUAAAAAAACCCAUCCAGGCAUGGCUGGCAAUAUGGCUAAACAAGAACAGUUCUGAUCUGCAGCUCCCAGCAAGGUCAACACAAAAGGAGGGUGAUUUCUGCAUUUCCAACUGAGUUACCUGGCUCAUCUCAUUGGGACUGGUUAGACAGUGGAUGCAGCCCAUGGAGGGUGAGCAGAAACAGGGUGGGGCAUCACCUCACCCAGGAAGUGCAAGGGGUUGAGGAACUCCCUCCCCUAGCCAAGGGAAGCUGUAAGGGACUGUGCCAUGAAGAAUGGUGCAUUCCAACCCACAUACUAUGCUUUUCCCAUGGUCUUUGCAACCCACAGACCAGGAGAUUCCCUCGGUGCCUACACUACCAAGGCCCUGCAUUUCAAGCACAAAACUGGGCAUCUGUGUGGGCAGAAACUGAUCUAGCAGCAGGAGUUUCUUUUCGUAACCUAGUGACGCCUGGAAUGCCAGUGAGAUGGAACCAUUCACUUCCCUGGAAAGGGGGCUGAAGCCAGAGAGACAAGUGGCCUAGCUCAGUGGAUCCCACCCCCGGAAAGCCCAGCAAGCUAAGAUCCGUGAAAUUCUUGCUGCCAGCACAGCAGUAUGAAGUCAAUCUGGGAUGCUCCAGGUUGGUGGGGGGAGGGGUGUCCACUAUUACUAAGGCUUGAGUAGGCGGUUUUCCAAUCACAGCAUAAACAAAGCUGCCAGGAAGUUCAAACUGGGUGAAGCCCACCACAGCUUGGCAAAGCCACUGUAGCCAGACUGCCUCUAGAUUCCUCCAUUCUGGGCAGGGCAUCUUUGAAAGAAACACAGCAGCCCCAGUCAGGGGCUUAUAGAUAAAACUUUCAUUUCCCUGGGACAGAGAACCUGGGAAAGGGGUGGCUGUGGGCGCAACUUCAGCAGACAAAUGUUCCUGCCUGCCAGCUCUGAAGAGAGCAGCACAUCUCCCAGCACAGCACUCGAGCUCUGCUAGGGACAGACUGCCUCCUCAACUGGGUCCAUAACCCCCAUGCCUCCUGACUGUGAGGCACCUCUCAGAAGGAGUCAACAGACACCUCAUAUAGGAGAGCUCUGGCUGACAUCUGGAGGGUGCCCCUCUGGGAUGAAGCUUCCAGAGGAAGGAAAAGGCAGCAAUCUUUGCCAUUCUGCAGCCUCUGCUGGUGAUACUCAGGCAAACAUGGUCUGGAGUGGACCUACAGCAGUCUCCAGCAGACCUGCAGCAGAGGGGCCUGACUGUUAGAAGGAAAACUAACAAACAGAAAGGAAUAAUAUCAACAUCAACAAAAACAACCACACCAAAACCCCAUCCAAAGGUCACCAACAUCAAAGACCAAAGGUAGACAAAUCUAUAAAGAUAGAGAGAAACAAGCGAAAAAAGGCUGAAAAUUGCAAAAACUAGAAGGCCUCUUCUCCUCCAAAGGAUCACAAUUCCUUUUCAGCAAGGGAACAAAACUGAACAGAGAAUGAAUUUGACAAAUUGACAGAAGUAGGCUUCAGAAGGUGGAUAAUAACAAACUCCUCUGGGCUAAAGGAGCAUGUUCUAACCCAAUGCAAAAAAGCUAAGAAGCUUGAAAAAAAGGUUCGUUGAAUUGCUAACUAGGAUAACCAGUUUAGAGAACAUAAAUGACCUGAUGGAGCUGAAAAACAUAGCAUGAGAACUUCGUGAAGCAUACGCAAGUAUCAAUAGCUGAAUCAAUCAAGCAGAAGAAAGGACAUCGAGGUUGAAGAUCAUCAUAAUGAAAUAAAGCGUGAAGACAAGAUUAGAGAAAAAAGAAUAAAAAGAAACGAACAAAGUUUCCAAAGUAUAUGGGACCAUGUGAAAAGACCAAACCUAUGUUUGAUUGGUGUACCUGAAAGUGAUGGGGAGAAUGGAACCAAGUUGGAAAACACUCUUCAGGAUAUUAUCCAGGAGAACUUCCCCAACCUAGAAAGACAGGCCAACAUUCAAAUUCAGGAAAUGCAGAGAACACCACAAACAUACUCCUCGAGAAGAGGAACCCCAAGGCACAUAAUCGUCAGAUUCACCAAGGGUGAAAUGAAGGAAAAAAUUAUCAGGUCAGCCAGAGAGAAAGGUCGGGUUACCCACAAGGGAAUCCCAUCAGACUAACAGCAGAUCUCUGUUAGUCAGAAGAGUGGGGCCAAUAUUCAACAUUCUUAAAUAAGAGAAUUUUCAACCCAGAAUUUCAUAUCCAGCCAAACUAAUCUUCAUAAGUGAAGGAGAAAUAAAAUCCUUUACAGACAAGCAAAUUCUGAGAGAUUUUCUCACCACCAGGCCUGCCUUCCAAGAACUCCUGAAGGAAGCCCUAAACAUGAAAAGGAACAUCUGGAACCAGCCACUGCAAAAACAUACCAAAUUGUAAAGACCAUGGACACUAUGAAGAAAUUGCAUCAAUUAACGGACAAAACAGUGAGCAAGCAUCAUAAUGACAGGUUCAAAUUGACCCAUAACAAUAUUAACCUUAAAUGUAAAUGGGUUAAAUGCCCCAGUUAAAAGACACACACUGGCAAAUUGGAUAAAGAGUCAAAACCCAUUGGUGUGCUGUAUUCAGGAGACCCAUCUCACAUGCAAAGAAACACAUAGGCUCAAAAUAAAAGGAUGGAGGAAUAUUUACCAAGGAAAUGGAAAACAAAAAAAAAGCAAACAUUGCAAUCCUAGUCGCUGAAAAAAACAGACUUUAAACCAACAAAGAUCAAAAGAGACAAAGGAGGGCAUUACAUAAUGGUAAAGGGAUCAAUGCAACAAGAAGAGCUAACUAUCCUAAGUAUACAUGCACCCAAUACAGGAGCAACCAGAUUAUAAACCAAGUUCUUAGAGACCUACAAAGAAACUUAGACACCCACACAAUAAUAGUGGGAGACUUUAACACCCCAUUGUUAAUAUUGGACAGAUCAGUGAGACAAAAUUAACCAGGAUAUUCAAGACUUGAACUCUGCUCUAGACCAAGCAGGCCUAAUAGACAUCUACAGAACUCUCCACCCCAAAUCAACAGAAUAUACAUUCUUCUCAGCACCACAUCACACUUAUUCUAAAAUUGACCAAAUAAUUGAAAGUAAAACACUCCUCAGGAAAUGCAAAACAAUGGAAAUCAUAUCAAACAGUCUCUCAGACAACAGGGUAAUCAAAUUAGAACUCAGGAUUAAGAAACUCACUCGAAACCCCACAACUUGGAAACUGAACAACCUGCUUCUGAAUGACUACUGGGUAAAUAAUGAAAUAAAGACAGAAAUAAAUAAGUUAUUUGAAACCAAUAAGAACAAAAACACAAUGUGGCAGAAUCUGUGGGACACAGCUACAGCCAUGUUUAGAGGGAAAAUUAUAGCACUAAAUGCCCACAAGAGAAAGUGGGAAAGAUCUAAAAUUGAAAACCUAACAUCACAAUUAAACGAUCUAGAGAAGCAAGAACAAACAAAUUCCAAAGCUAUCAGAAGACAAGAAAUAACUAAGAUCAGAGCAAAACUGAAAGAGAUAGAGACAUGAAGAACCCUUUGAAAAAUCAAUGAAUCCAGGAGCUGUUUUUUUUAAAGAUCAACAAAAUAGAUAAUCUGCUAGCCAGACUAACAAACAAGAAGAGAAAGAAGAAUCAAAUAGGUGCAAUAAAAAAUGCUAUAGGGGAUAAACUACUGAUCCCACAGAAAUAAAAACUUCCAUCAGAGAAUACUAUAAACACCUCUAUGCAAAUAUACUAGAAAAUCUAGAAGAAAUGGAUAAAUUCCUGGACACAUAAACCCUACUAAGUCUAAACCAGAAAGAAGUCGAAUCCCUGAAAAGACCAAUAACAAGUUCUGAAAUUGAUGCAGUAAUUAAUAGCCUAACAACCAAAAAGAGUCCAGGAUCAGAUGGAUUCACAGCCGAAUUCUACCACAGGUGAAAAGAGGAGCUGGUAGCAUUCCUUCUGAAACUAUUCCAAACAAUAGAAAAAAAGGGAAUCCUCCUUAACUCAUUUUAAGAGGUCAGCAUCAUCCUGAUACCAAAACCUGGCAGAAACAAAACCAAAAAAGAAAUUUCAGGCCAAUAUCCCUGAGGAAUAUGUGAAAAUUCUCAAUAAAAUACUAGCAAGCCAAAUCCAGCAGCACAUCAAAAAGCUUAUCGACCAUGAUCAAUUCGGCUUCAUCCCUGGGAUGCAAGGCUGGUACAACAUACCUGAAUCAAUUUUAAUGCAAUCCAUCACAUAAACUGAAUCAAUGACAAAAACCAGAUUAUCUCAAUAAUACUGGGUAUAUAUACAGCAUUGCAUAAUAAAAAUCAUGCUUUGUUAUUAUUCAAUAACAAAGUAAGUCUUGUGGCACUGUGCCUUAAAAGUGUGGCAUUAAAAGUCCACUUAAUUCUUCCUUUCUUUUCUUGACAUGGUGAGUAUGCAGUAAAAAUAAUUGUGGGUUGGUGAUAUAUGGGACACUCAAAACACUUUUGAGUUGUGACUGCAUCACUGCAAUUUUUAGUGGGUUGAGCUGCAGUGCAAAGUGACAUUGGGUCAGUUUUGCAGCUACUCAAUACUGUCAGUGUGGCUGAAAACAGCUAUGCAUAAUAUAAAAACAAAUCCAUAUGGCUAGGUAUAAAAACUUUAUGAGGAAUGAAAUUUUUAUUUUAUAUACUUUUCAUAUUUUAUAAAAUAUUAUUUUAUUAAUCAUUAAAAAUGUAAAAGCCAUUCUUAGCUAAUGGGUAAUAUAAGAAUAUAUAGCAGGCCAUGCUUGACAUAUAGUUUGUAAUUUGCUAAUUUCUCUUUUAGAAAACUGUGAUAUACUAGUUUAGGUUAAUAAUUGUUGAGAAGAUUUACAGAGGCUCUGAGGGAAAAGAACAGAUAAUGCAUUGGAAGAAAUAAGGAUAAGUUACAUAUUAGACUCACUUUAAUACAAAUAAGAAAAGUUUUUUUUACCUUCUUUAUUAUGACAGAAAAACAGAAUGAUCAAACAGGCUUCCACUCAAGAGAUACUGUCCUGCAAGUGAGGCAUUUGAAUAGUAUAAAAUUAGAAGGAUGUGAAGGAAGAGGGGUAGUGUAUUAACAUAUCAAUUUUAAAAUACAGCCAUUUAAAGAAGAGUUUCUCUCUCUCUCUCCCUCCAUCCCUCUCUCUCUCUCUCUUAACAGCACCAGAGCAGGCCAUUUAUCUGUGUUCUUGUGGCACUUUAACUAUAUAAGGCCAUUCAGAAAAUGAUUCAUGCUUUUUUUAUCUUGUUUGUCUACCAUUCUGUACAAUGUGGUCUUCAUCUGUAUGAUCAAAGGCAAAUCACCACCAUAUUUGUAUUCCAGGCUGUAAGACAGGGAGAAGUAAAAGACCAGGACAAGUGACUUUAACUAAGUAAUACACAUCGCUUUCAUUCACAUCUCAUCAGCCAGGACAAAAUCAGAUGACCACACCUAGCUGCAUGGGAGGCAAUAAACUUGUCUCUAGUUAAGUGGUCAUAGGCGAGUGCUUCAAACGUGUUUUCCCUAUUACUGAAAGAGAGUGUUGUAGAUGAGAGACCGAAGAUACAGUCUCUUUUUACUUGAUAAAAGUGGUAAAUUUUCUUCAACAGAAUUUCUAUUUUACUUCUUAAUAAAUUUAUUAGAAGUGUUUUACAGAAAUUUUCAGAUCAUUUAUUUAUUUAAUGAGUCAAACACGCAUGAACAGGCACUCUUCCAAAUAAUCCAAAUAAAGUAUCUAGCUAGAUGACAUAUUUACUCACAUGGAGCUAACAUUCUAGAGAAGAACAUAUAGAAUAAACAAAGAUUCAAUUUAAUAAAAAUGUUAAGAACAAUGACAUUUAGAUAAGUUGGGUUAAUAAUCAGAUUACUGAGUAGCAAAAUUGUAAGUGGAAACAUGCAAAACUUUAAAGCUAGUUCUGGCUCUUGCACCAACAGGUAAUUUUCUGCAUUUGUUUUUUAAUAGAUUACAUCGUUAUCUUAAGUCAUCUGAACCUAUAGAGAUACAUACAGGGAACACCUGCUAGGAGUAAGGUUAGGCAAAGAAAUUCAGUUGUGUCUUUCUCAUGUUGAUCCAUCUGAUAAAAGAAUAGCUAGAAUAGAUAGAUAAAGAAUAGCAAUUUUUGCACUAUAAAUCUAAUAAUGUGGGCCAGGCAUGGUGGCUCACGCCUGUAAUCCCAGCUGUUUGGGAGGCGGAGGCGGGUGGAUCACCUGAGGUCGGGAGUUUGAGAACAGCCUGAUCAACAUGGAAAAACCCCAUUUCUACUAAAAAUACAAAAUUAGCCAGGCUUGGUGGUGCAUGCCUGUAAUCCCAGAUACUGGGGAGGCUGAGGUAGGAGAAUCGCUUGAACCCGGGAGGCGGAGUUUAUGGUGAGCCAAGAUCACGCCAUUGCACUCCAGCCUGGGCAACAAGAGCAAAGCUCCGUCUCAAAAAAAAAAAAAAAAAAAAAAAAAAAUCGAAUAGUGUGUCUUUUUUUUUUUUUUUUUUUUUUCUGUUAAGCAUGUGAACGUUGGAAUGCUGGAGAUGACCUUUGUACUAUUUGGUACUUGAGUCUUUUUAAUUAUCUUCUUUGCUUAUUCCAAGAAGAAGUUUAGAUAUUCCCUUAUUUGGGCUUCACAUAAUAUGUCUGCCUAAUUCUGCCAAUAUGUACCAAAGUGUAUUUUGCACUUUUAUGAAAAAUAGAGAAGGUUCAAUGAUGGCCUAAGACAUAGAGUGCUUUUGUGAUGUAGUUUUAAGUUAUAUAUGUCAUUUUACAAAAUACUAUGUGAAUUUCCAAACUUUGGAAGUAAAAUUUGUCUAGAUAUUGAAAUAUGAGUUUGGAGCCAAAGAAUGUUUUUUAAAUAAGAUUGUUAUCAUAGUGCUAUUGUGGCAGGCCAGGUCUCCAUUAGCAACCAGAACAGUCAGUUUCCACUAACCCUUUACUAUAGUUCUGAUGAAUGUAUAAGUUAAACAUUAAAGAAUUGGAGAAACUAGUGCUUUAGUACAAGGGCUGGGAUGUGAAAACAAAACCAUUAAGACCUUGCCUGGGUUUUCUCAGAACUUAAAGCCUGAUAAAAUAAUGAAGGCAUUCUUACACACACCUUGUUCCAGGGCCCAUUAAGAUUAACAAAUUUUUCCAAGGCUCUGAAUUAAACUUCCAGGCCCCAGACCCUAGUUAAAGAUUAGAUUGAGUGAAACACUCCUGUUUAUAGUUGCACACGUGCAUGCAGGCAUAUAGCUUGAAUGUAUUAAUGUAUAAGCAAGUGCUGAAAAAAAUCUUGUAACUUUGGGUUGGUCUGGUGAACUACCCUGACCUUCUCCUUAUGGCCAGUUACAGAAAUAAACUCUCUUCUUUCCCAGUCUGUCUGUAACUCGUUAAUUGGACCAUGAGACCAAGUAGCUGGACUCCAGUUUUUUCUGGGUAUACUAUGUUUGCUUGACUUUUGAUAUGCUGGGUUCUUUGAAUAUGCAAAUGUCUUUAUUUAAAAUCCAUUUUAAUUUCCCUGCUGAAGCCAUUGAAGGAAGGCCACAGAUUGGAUGAAUCAUGAAGACUAAUAUUUUACUUGAUUUAGGAGGAAUGCAGUUCAAAAUGACUAUUGCUUAGAGAUUCUGGUCACAAUAAAUAUAACCUUGACUGCAUUUAAAUGGAAAGUCUUUUAUACUUCUGAAAUGGCUAGUUUAGUGUCCUAAACUAAUGUGUGGACCAUUGUAAUUUACCAUGAAGACUUCAUAAAACAAAGGCCAUAGACAUUGAACAAACUGUGAGCUUUAUUUAGAUGGCAUUUAAAAAUUUAUUUUGACAUAUCCUUGCAAAAGUGAUUGGAACCAUAAUUGGAAGUUGGAUACAGCAAUAAUUGUGAGCAAUUUAUUGUGGCAUCUCCUUACAGAGAUAUAUAUUCUAUACAACUAAACUCCUUCAAAUACUUGAAGAACAUCUGUAAGGGAUCAAAAUAUGCCAGCUCAGUUCCCUUUCUACACAUUAAGUAGAAGCUAUCAAAAAAAUAAAUUAAGAAAACCAUAUCAUUUGUAAUGGCAUCAGUAAGAAUAAAAUAGAUAGGAAUAAAUUUAACCAAGGAGGUGAAACAUUAUGGCAUUCAACACUUUAAAUGUGUGAAUUGUAUGAUAUAUGAAUUGUAUCUCAAUAAAGCUGUUUAAAUAACAAUGUACUAUAUUCUUAAAAUUUGCUAUGACAGUAGAUUGAAAGUGUUCUCACCAAAAAAAAUAGUGCGUUUGUUAGGUAAUGCAUAUGUUAAUAAGCAUGAUCUAGCCAAUCCACAAUGUAAACAUAUUUUAAGACACCAUGUUAUACACCAUUAAUAUAUAUAAUUUUUGUCUACUAAAAUAAUUAUAAAUAAUUAAAAAACAGGAGAUAUUACAAUUGAUACUACAGAAUUACAAAAGUUCACACUAGUUGAGUAUGAACAAUUGUACACCAACAAAAAAGAUAACCUAGAAGAAAUAAAAAAAAAACUAAGAAACAUUCAACCUAAAAAGACUGAAUCAUGAAGAAAUAGAAAAUAUGAACAGACUAACAAUUAUUAAGGAGAUUGAAUCAAUAAUCAAAACUUUCCCAACAAAUAGAAUCCCAGGACCUGAUGGCUUCCCUGGUGAAUUAUACCAAACAUCUAAAGAAGAAUUAAAAUCUAUCUUCUCAAACACUUCCAAAAAAUUCAUUAGGAGAUAACACUUCCAAACUCAUUUUGCAAGGCCAGUAUUAGUCCAAAGCCUGACAAGGAUACUACAAGAAAAGAAAAUAUAGGUGAAUAUCCCUGAUGAACAAAACACAAAAAUUCUCAACAAAACGCUGGCCAACUGAAUUCAAAUGCAUAUUAAAAGGAUCAUACAACAUAAUCAAGUGGAAUUUAUUUCUGGGAUAAAUGGAUGGUUCAUUAUAUGCAAAACAAAUAAAUGUGAUACAUUACUUUAAAAGAAUCAAAAACAAUAACCAUAUGAUUAUCUUAAUAGAUGCAGUGAAAGCGUUUAAUAUAAUUCAACAUCUUUACAUGAUAAAAUCUCUCAAAAAACUAGAGUUAGUAGGAAGGUACCUCAACACAACAAAGGCCAUAUACCCCAAGUCAACAGCUAACCUCAUACUAAGUGGUAAAAUGCUGAAAGUUUCUCCUCUAAGAUCAGGAACAAGACAAGGAUUCUCACUGAUGCCAAUUCAAUUCAACGCAGUACUAAAAGUCUUAAUCAGAGUAGUUAGGCAAGAGAAAGAAACAAAGUCAUCCAAAUUGGAAACGAGUUAAAAUGUCUCUGUUUGCAGGUGACAUGAUCUUAUAUACAGAAAUCCCUAAAGACCCCACCAAAAACUGUUAAAACUAACAAAUUCCAUGAAGCUGCUGAACAAAAAAUCAGUUCUCUUUCUAUACACUAGAUAGAAACUAUUCAAAAAAGAAAUGAAGAAAAUCAUGAGAGUCGCUUCCAAGACGGCCGAAUAGGAACAGCUCUGGUCUACAGUUCCCAGUGAGAUCGACACAGAAGAUGGGUGAUUUCUGCAUUUCCAACUGAGUUACCUGGUUCAUCUCACUAGGAAUGGUUGGAGAGUGGGUGCAGCCCAUGGAAGGUGAGCCAAAGUGGGGGGUGGGGGAGUGUUGCCUCACCCAGGAAGUGCAAGGGGUCAGGGGAUUUCCCUUUCCUAGCCAAGGGAAGCCAUGAGUGACUGUACCUGGAGGAGCGGUACACUCCUUUCCAAAUGCUGUGCUUUUCCCAUGGUCUUCACAACCAACAGACCAGGAGAUUCCUGGAGACCUGCAGACCAGGAGACCUGCCUGGCUUGGUGGUUCCCACACCCACAGAGCCUUGCUCGCUGCUAGUGAAUCAAUCUGAGAUUAACCUGGGAUGCUGAAGUUUGGCAGGGGGAGGGGCG